UCUACGGGUGGCAGCAGUGAGGAAUAUUGGUCAAUGGGCGUAAGCCUGAACCAGCCAAGUCGCGUGAGGGAUGAAGGUUCUAUGGAUCGUAAACCUCUUUUAUAAGGGAAUAAAGUGCGGGACGUGUCCCGUUUUGUAUGUACCUUAUGAAUAAGGAUCGGCUAACUCCGUGCCAGCAGCCGCGGUAAUACGGGGGAUCCGAGCGUUAUCCGGAUUUAUUGGGUUUAAAGGGUUCGUAGGCGGGCUGUUAAGUCAGCGGUGAAAGUUUGGGGAUCAACCAUAGAAUUGCGGUUGAUACUGGGAGUCUUGAGUAUGUUUGAGGCAGGCGGAAUGCGUGGUGUAGCGGUGAAAUGCUGAGAUAUCACGCAGAACCCCGAUUGCGAAGGCAGCCUGCCAAGCCAUGACUGACACUGAUGCACGAAAGCGUGGGGAUCAAACAGGAUUAGAUACCCUUGUAGUC
rnacentral:rRNA from 1 species